rfam:Oryza barthii chromosome 3, whole genome shotgun sequence.
AAAGAGACAAACCCUAGUUUCCGUACCCAACGUUUGACCGUCCGUCUUAUUUGAAAAAAAUAUAAAAAAAUUAAAAAGACAAAUCAUAUAUAAAAUAUUAAUCAUGUUUUAUCAUCUAACAACAAUAAUAAUACGAAUUAUAAAAAAAUUUCAUAUAAGACGGACAGUCAAAGUUGGACGCGGAAACCCAGGGUUUGCCUUUUU